rnacentral:pre_miRNA from 1 species
GAUUUCAAUUGAAAAAGUCAUCAACAACAAAGUCGAAUAAUCAUCAAGAUCUAAAAUUUAUUUUUGUUAUUUCUUCAUCUGACGAAAUGUUAGUAAUAUUAUUCAUAAAUUUUACAUAUAUGUGGUUAUAGUUUUAUAAAACCAGAUAAGAGAUAUGUCAAUUUUGUAAACAAUGUUACUAUCACUUUGUCGUAUGAAGAAAUGACUAAAAUAAAAGUUUUAGAUCUUGAUGAGUUAUUCAACUUUGUUGUGAUGACUUUUUCAGUUGAGAUC